AAGCUUGCUUCUGAAUUAUGAGAGCGGCGAACGGGUGAGUAACACGUUGGUAUCUGCCCCCAAGUCAGGGAUAGCCAUUGGAAACGAUGAUUAAUACCGGAUAGUCUCUACGGAGUAAAAAUUUAUUGCUUGGGGAGGAGCCUGCGUUCUAUCAGCUAGUUGGUGAGGUAAUAGCUCACCAAGGCUAUGACGGAUAACUGGUCUGAGAGGAUGAUCAGUCACAAUGAAACUGAGACACGGUUCAUACUCCUACGGGAGGCAGCAGUGAGGAAUCUUCCACAAUGGACGAAAGUCUGAUGGAGCGACACCGCGUGAAGGAUGAAGGUCUAACGAUUGUAAACUUCUUUUCUGAGGGAGCAUGAUGAGAGUACCUCAGGAAUAAGGGACGGCUAAUUACGUGCCAGCAGCCGCGGUAAUACGUAAGUCCCAAGCGUUACCCGGAAUUAUUGGGUGUAAAGGGUCCGUAGGUGGACUUGCAAGUCAGGUAUGAAAGACCGGAGCUCAACUCCGUGUUUGUACUUGAAACUGCAAGUCUAGAAUCAGGGAGAGGUUAGCGGAAUUCUAAGUGUAGGGGUGCAAUCCGUAGAUACUUAGAAGGACACCAAAAGCGAAGGCAGCUAACUGGAACUCGAUUGACACUGAGGGACGAAAGCGUGGGGAGCGAAGAGGAUUAGAUACCCUCGUAGUCCACGCCCUAAACGAUGAUAACUAAGUGUUGCAUGUAGAUGCAGUGCUGUAGCUAACGCGUUAAGUUAUCCACCUGAGGAGUACGGUCGCAAGAUUAAAACUCAAAGGAAUAG
rnacentral:rRNA from 1 species